UCUCUCGUAGCUUUUUGGUUAGAGCAUUGGUGCGUUAAGCUAAAGGUCCCGGGUUCGAUUCCUGGCGAGCGUA
rnacentral:tRNA from 1 species